CAAACUGGAACUCGUUGAGUAUUUUAUUUACAUUAAAAAGGAAUUUGUUUAAUUCAAUUUAGUUUGA
rnacentral:tRNA from 1 species